rnacentral:rRNA from 1 species
GACGAACGCUGGCGGCGUGCUUAACACAUGCAAGUCGAACGGAAAGGCCCUUCGGGGUACUCGAGUGGCGAACGGGUGAGUAACACGUGGGUGAUCUGCCCUGCACUUUGGGAUAAGCCUGGGAAACUGGGUCUAAUACCGAAUAGGACCACGCGCUUCAUGGUGUGUGGUGGCAAGCUUUUGCGGUGUGGGAUGGGCCCGCGGCCUAUCAGCUUGUUGGUGGGGUAAUGGCCUACCAAGGCGACGACGGGUAGCCGGCCUGAGAGGGUGACCGGCCACACUGGGACUGAGAUACGGCCCAGACUCCUACGGGAGGCAGCAGUGGGGAAUAUUGCACAAUGGGCGCAAGCCUGAUGCAGCGACGCCGCGUGAGGGAUGACGGCCUUCGGGUUGUAAACCUCUUUCAAUAGGGACGAAGCGCAAGUGACGGUACCUAUAGAAGAAGCACCGGCCAACUACGUG